rnacentral:rRNA from 1 species
AACGAACGCUGGCGGCAGGCUUAACACAUGCAAGUCGAGCGAAGACUUCGGUCUUAGCGGCGGACGGGUGAGUAACGCGUGGGAACAUACCCUUUGCUACGGAACAGUCCCGGGAAACUGGGUUUAAUACCGUAUACGCCCUUCGGGGGAAAGAUUUAUCGGCAAAGGAUUGGCCCGCGUUGGAUUAGGUAGUUGGUGGGGUAAUGGCCCACCAAGGCUACGAUCAGUAGCUGGUCUGAGAGGAUGAUCAGCCACAUUGGGACUGAGACACGGCCCAAACUCCUACGGGAGGCAGCAGUGGGGAAUAUUGGACAAUGGGGGCAACCCUGAUCCAGCCAUGCCGCGUGAGUGAUGAAGGCCCUAGGGUUGUAAAGCUCUUUUAGCAGGGAAGAUAAUGACGGUACCUGCAGAAAAAGCCCCGGCUAACUUCGUGCCAGCCGCCGCAGUAAUAC